rnacentral:rRNA from 1 species
AAUAUUGCACAAUGGGCGAAAGCCUGAUGCAGCAACGCCGCGUGAGCGAUGAAGGCCUUUGGGUCGUAAAGCUCUGUCCUUGGGGAAGAAAAAAAUGACGGCACCCUUGGAGGAAGCCCCGGCUAACUACGUGCCAGCAGCCGCGGUAAUACGUAGGGGGCAAGCGUUAUCCGGAAUUAUUGGGCGUAAAGAGUGCGUAGGUGGUUUUGUAAGCGCGGGGUGAAAGGCUAUGGCUCAACCAUAGUAAGCCUUGCGAACUGUGAGACUUGAGUGCAGGAGAGGAAAGUGGAAUUCCUAGUGUAGCGGUGAAAUGCGUAGAUAUCGGGAGGAACACCAGUGGCGAAGGCGACUACCUGGACGACAACUGACGCUGAGGCACGAAAGCUAGGGGAGCAAAC